UACGAAGGGGGCUAGCGUUGCUCGGAAUUACUGGGCGUAAAGCGCACGUAGGCGGUCUUUUAAGUCGGGGGUGAAAUCCUGGAGCUCAACUCCAGAACUGCCUUCGAUACUGGAAGACUUGAGUCCGGGAGAGGUGAGUGGAACUGCGAGUGUAGAGGUGAAAUUCGUAGAUAUCGAGAGGAACACCGGUGGCGAAGGCGGCCUUCUGGACAGUGACUGACGCUGAGACGCGAAAGCGUGGGGAGCAAACAGG
rnacentral:rRNA from 1 species